rnacentral:rRNA from 1 species
UACGGCUCAGUAACACGUAGUCAAUCUACCCUAUGGACGGGGAUAACCUCGGGAAACUGAGGAUAAAACCCGAUAGAUCAUAGUGCCUGGAACGGCUUAUGGUCCAAAUGAUUCGUCGCCGUAGGAUGAGUCUGCGGCCUAUCAGCCUGAAGUUGGUGUAACGGACCAACUUAGCUUCGACGGGUACGGGCCUUGGGAGAGGUCGCCCGGAGAUGGAUUCUGAGACACGAAUCCAGGCCCCACGGGGCGCAGCAGGCGCGAAAACUUCGCAAUGCGGGAAACCGCGACGAGGGGAUCCCAAGUGCUAGUACAUUGUACUAGCUGUUUUCCUGAUUAAAUAUCAGGGAGAGUAAGGGCUGGGUAAGACUGGUGCCAGCCGCCGCGGUAAUACCAGCAGCCCUAGUGGUGAUCGUUGUUAUUGGGCCUAAAACGUCCGUAGCCGGCUUAGUAAAUUCUUGGGCAAAUCGGGGGGCUUAACCUUCCGAAUUCCGAGGAGACUGCUAGGCUUGGGACCGGGGGAGGUCAGAGGUACUUCGGGGGUAGGGGUGAAAUCCUGUAAUCCUCGAGGGACCACCAGUGGCGAAGGCGUCUGACUAAAACGGAUUCGACGGUAAGGGACGAAGCCUUGGGGCGCAAACGGGAUUAGAUACCCCGGUAGUCCAAGGUGUAAACGCUGCGGGCUUGGUGUUGGGGGUCCUACGGGGGCGUCCAGUGCCGGAGUGAAGAUGGUAAGCUCGCUGCCUGGGGAGUACGGUCGCAAGACUGAAACUUAAAGGAAUUGGCGGA